rnacentral:tRNA from 2 species
GCGCCGUUAGCUCAACUGGCAGAGCAACUGACUCUUAAUCAGUGGGUUGGGGGUUCGAGUCCCUCACGGCGCACAA